CCAGGAGAUGCUGAUUCUUUUAGGCCAGGAGUCUCAUUUAAGCAGCAAGAGUGUAGACCUCUCUUCAGUGAAGAUUCCUGUCCACACCUUGGAGAUCUUUUGAACCUUGCACAUUGACAAAUGCGCUUCCCAGGUGGCAGUAAUGGUAAAGAACAAGCCUGCUGAUGCAGAAGACAUGAGACUCGGGUUCGAUCCCUGGGUCAGGAAGAUCCCCUGGAGGAGGCCAUUGUGGAAGCUGCCAGAAGAGGGGAAGGGUUGCAUCGUGUGGCCACAAAUGAAUGGAUCUCACCCAGGGAAAGCAGACCAAGCAAUGGAACCUGUUGUUUGAGUCCUGGACCAAAUUGUGCCUGCCUCCCCAAUGAGCCAAUAAAUUUUCUUUAUUGCUUAA